CACGUAGGGCGCAAGCGUUGUCCGGAAUUAUUGGGCGUAAAGAGCUCGUAGGCGGACUGUCACGUCUGCUGUGAAAAGCUGGGGCUUAACCCUGGCCUUGCAGUGGAUACGGGCAGACUAGAGGUAGGUAGGGGAGAAUGGAAUUCCUGGUGUAGCGGUGAAAUGCGCAGAUAUCAGGAGGAACACCGAUGGCGAAGGCAGGUCUCUGGGCCACUACUGACGCUGAGAAGCGAAAGCAUGGGGAGCGAACAGG
rnacentral:rRNA from 1 species